rnacentral:rRNA from 1 species
AUGUUAAUUAUUUUUCGGGACUCUAGCAACUAUCAGAAGCUUCGACGGAGGUUCACAAUGGAUAUAAUUGUUCCUGCAGUCGUAGGUGAUAUUGUCAACAGAGCUGUAUCCUUUGCCAUCAAGAAAUGCUUGCAGCUUCCAAACGUCGACAAGAAUCUGGAGCGGCUAAAUCAGUUGCUUCUAAGAGCCCAUACCAUCACCGAGGAGGCGGAGGGAAGGCUUAUCAACAAUCGAGAGAUGCUCCAGCAGCUGGGGAUAUUGAUAGAAGGGAUGCAGAGAGGCCACUAUAUGCUUGAUAACUUCAAAUGUCGAGCCCUUCAACAAGGGAGAGGGGAUGAGCAUGAGGUGAGUCACUUCUCUGGAUUAUCUAUGUUCAGUGCAGCAAAGUGUCUUCGUUCGUCCAAUAACUACAGAAAAUCAGUGCUCUUUGGCAGUAACAACAUAGAAGAUCUACAAGGUAUGAUUGCUACCCUAGAAAAGGCCAUUGCUGACUUGAAGGAGUUUGUUAUUUUUCUGGGGAACUAUCCUCCAAUCUGCCGCUAG